rnacentral:rRNA from 1 species
GGAUAAACGCUGGCGGCGUGCAUGCGACAUGCAAGUCGAACGAAGGAUCGGGCUUGCACGAUCCUUAGUGGCGGACGGCUGAGUAACGCGUAGGUGACCUACCCCGAAGUGGGGAAUAACUGCCCGAAAGGGUGGCUAAUACCGCAUGUGGUCGCACGUUCAUUCGUGCGAGUAAAGCCGCAAGGCGCUUCGGGAGGGGCCUGCGUCCGAUUAGCUCGUUGGUGGGGUAAUGGCUUACCAAGGCGACGAUCGGUAGGUGGUCUGAGAGGACGAUCACCCAGACUGGAACUGAGACACGGCCCAGACUCCUACGGGAGGCAGCAGUCGGGAAUUUUGCUCAAUGGGGGAAACCCUGAGGCAGCAACGCCGCGUGAGGGAUGAAGGCCUUCGGGUUGUAAACCUCUUUUGUCAGGGACGAUGAUGACGGUACCUGGCGAAUAAGCCACGGCUAACUACGUG